UCACUUACCUCAGUUGAGGGUCACGGUGUUGUAGUAGUAUGCUUCAUCUCAGGUCUUUUGUAAUUGAAGCAGCCACAGAUGAUGUCACCUAAACACAGGACUUCCAUUCAGAAGUUGUUUUGCUGCUCCCGUACACGACCGGGUGGACCAGCCGCAUCGCCAUAACUCUAAUAAAUGGACUGGAUAUGGUGAGCUGAGAGCAUACUUGGCCCCUGCUGAGGAGAUUGGCAGGUGUUUGAUAUUCACUGAAGUCUGCCCCACCCCCCUGCAUCUCUGUCUCUCAGUCCCUUCAAAAGGCACAUCUGAGUCUAAAUUAUAGACUACGAGACUUGGAACACGUUGGGAACAACGGAUGAGUCAUCUUGGACAGACAGUGACAGAGGUGACUACCUCUAACCUAUCCACUCAUGAGAUUAAUGACCUAUCAGCCUAUUUAUUGACACAAACAAAGUGACUCCUCUUUACUUAUGCCAAGGGUCUCUCUUUCGCUUUUCAUCCCUGUGUAAUGUCUCUCGCUCUGUCACUCUGCCCCCCUCACUCACUGUUGUGGUGGCCAAGGUUAGAGAGGCGCAAUGAGAAAGGGCGGGGAGUCGGAAAAGAGGGAGAGUGGGGGUCUAAACAAAUCUCUGUCCUGCCAGGACGUCCUCUUGCCAAGGUUUGUUGAGGGCUGGAAGGGAUGAAGGAAGGCGGGGCUGCUGGGUGGGGAGGGUGGUGUGGAGGUAGGGGGUGAUGGGGAAUGACGUGAUCCCCUUUAUCCUAGCCAAUAAAACAGAGUGGCCGGUGAGAUCCGGAUCCGUACGUGCCGUCAAAUUCAAUAAGGUAGUGCUUUAAUGUUUUCUUUUAAUCAACCAAAUUGCAUUACACACUGCCUGCUCCGCGGCGCAGAGGAAGGGGGGAAAAGAACAGUCAGUGCUGCGGGGAUGAGUACGGUUGGUUUGGGGUUGUGCUGGAAUCACCAAGGGGGGCAUUCCCAAUAUCUACAACGAUUUUAUCGCAUGUGUGUCAACGUUUUUCUACUGUACAGGCCCAUAGAAAAAUUGCUCCGCCUCCGGUUCCCCUUCAGUGAGAGGAAGCAGGGGCCGGUGUGAAUUCAGGGUCAGACUGGGGACAGACAAGGUGUACAGACAGACUACGUCAUUCUGGUAAUGAAUUCCAGCUCAACUUUUAGAGCAUAAGCCGCUUUAAAGGCAGAGCGCACUCCUCCCUGCUGGACGAUGGUGUCUCUUAUCAUGAGCAAUGCCCUCUGCAGUGCCUUCCUCCAGCACUCCAGCAACUUCCUCCUCCUCAUUCUCUUCUACUUUAACCCCCCCCAAACACACACACACACACGCCUUAUAUGACUCACUCUUUAGUGAAGGUACAUCAGGACUGCUCUUCUAAACACUUCAUCAUCAAAACCCCUUUUUCUUCUCCAAGGCUGGAAGGAAGAACGCAGCACCCAGCGGGACAGAGAGGGAUUGUAUGUCUGCAUCAUGUACUGUAGUAAUCACCAGUCGCCGGAUCAGCUUGCUGCCCAGGUCCACUAGAGUUACUGGGAUUUUAAUUCUGACUGGGGUUUUACAGUUGGAUGUUUCAUUCCACCUUGAAUCAGGCACUGCUGUUGUGGCCCGAAGGAUUACAGCCUGCUGCCGCUGUCGGCCGUUCAUCCGUGGACAGAUGAAACUUCACAGAGAGCAGUAAUCCACCGAAGAAGGGUAGCUUUGCUGCUCAGCUGCCUCAGCCACAACUUUAGAGCCAGCUGACAUUUAACAUAAUGAUCAGUCAGAGUGGCCGAGCGUUUACACACGGGAAAGGUUUCCCGGACACAAUUAGACCACAGUCCUCGCAUGGGCUAAAAAUGAAUCACAAUACACAAUACCAUAGUGUAGUCCCUCUAUCCAUCUAAUGGUAAACUGUGAGUGGAGUGACUGGAAGAAAAGCCUCAGUCUCAGCUGUGAUAUUACGGUGGUUUAUCCACAAAGCUUGAAAAGAUGACCACAGUUACAAUCUACUGCACAGUGUAUAGUCUAGGAAACAGGCUGCAUUUUGGUUUUUGCAAUCCAUCCUGGUAUGAGUCAUUUACGGUAUGCUAUUAGACAGAGGGGUUACCCAAGUUUUCCAAUGCUAGAACAACACAGCGAUUUCAACAAUGAAACCCUCACUACAUCUUAUAAAUGUUAAAGAAACAAUUAAACAUUUUAAUAAUGUUAUUUUA